ACGCCGCGUGCUCGAAGAAACCCUUCGGGGCGUAAAGAGCUUUUCUCUGGGAGGAACCUUCGGGUGACAGUACCAGAGGAAUAAGGGGAUCCUAAUUCUGUGCCAGCAGGAGCGGUAAUACAGAAUCCCCAAGCGUUAUCCGGAUUUAUUGGGCGUAAAGCGUUCGUAGGCGUCCUGUUAGGUUUCUUGUUAAAUUUCUAGCGCUCAACGUUAGAAUCGCAAGAAAAACCGACAGGAUAGAGGACGUCAGGGGCUGAUGGAACUGUCGGUGUAGGGGUGAAAUCCGUUGAUAUCGACGGGAACACCAAAAGCGAAGGCAUUCAGCUGGGGCGAUCCUGACGCUGAGGAACGAAAGCGUGGGUAUGGAAAAGGAUUAGAUACCCUUGUACUCCACGCUGUAAACGAUGGACACUAGCUAUUUAAAGUGUCGACCCUUUAAGUGGCGAAGCUAACGCGUUAAGUGUCCCGCCUGGGAAGUACGGCCGCAAGGCUAAAACUCAAAGGAAUAGACGGGGACUCACACAAGCGGUGGACCAUGUGGCUUAAUUCGACGACAAACGAAGAACCUUACCAGGACUUGACAUCCCGCCGAAAUUCUGAUGAAAAUCAGAACUACCUACAAGGACGACGGGACAGGUGCUGCAUGGUUGUCGUCAGCAUGUGUCAUGAGACGCUCCCUUAAAUGGGGGAACAUGCGCAACCCUUGCCCUAUGUUUUAUAUGUCAUAGGGGACUGCCUGAGACAAUCAGGAGGAAGGU
rnacentral:rRNA from 1 species